rfam:Francisella endosymbiont of Amblyomma maculatum strain FLE-Am contig05, whole genome shotgun sequence.
ACUAAGGCUUUCUUCAAAGCCAUACUUGAUAUUUAUUAUGAUAUACU